AAACCUCUUUCAGUAGGGAAGAAGCGAAAGUGACGGUACCUGCAGAAGAAGCGCCGGCUAACUACGUGCCAGCAGCCGCGGUAAUACGUAGGGCGCAAGCGUUAUCCGGAAUUAUUGGGCGUAAAGAGCUCGUAGGCGGUUUGUCGCGUCUGCCGUGAAAGUCCGGGGCUCAACUCCGGAUCUGCGGUGGGUACGGGCAGACUAGAGUGAUGUAGGGGAGACUGGAAUUCCUGGUGUAGCGGUGAAAUGCGCAGAUAUCAGGAGGAACACCGAUGGCGAAGGCAGGUCUCUGGGCAUUAACUGACGCUGAGGAGCGAAAGCAUGGGGAGCGAACAGGAUUAGAUACCCUGGUAGA
rnacentral:rRNA from 1 species